rnacentral:ncRNA from 1 species
CAUAGUAAGGAUUGACAGAUUGAGAGCUCUUUCUUGAUUCUAUGGGUGGUGGUGCAUGGCCGUUCUUAGUUGUUGGAGCAAUUUGUCUGGUUAAUUCGAUAACAAACGAGACCUCAUCCUGCUAACUAGCUACGCGGAGGUUCCCCUUCACGACCAGCUUCUUAGAGGGACUAUGGCUGUUUAGGCCAUGUUCAACAACUUUUAUUUAUUUUUUU